AGUGAACGCUGGCGGUAGGCCUAACACAUGCAAGUCGAACUGCAGUACAGUAUGAGCUUCCUCUUACGGGUUGCGACUUGCGGACGUUUCAUGACUACUUCGGACUCUAUUUUUUCGUGGGUGCUAACGUAUGGUAACUUACGCUUAUACCGCAUACGACCUAUGAGUGCUAGCUGGGGAUUUUCAGACCUUUCGCUAUUGUUUGCUCCUAUGUCGGAUUAGCUGUUUGGCGGGGUAAAGUCCCACCCAGGCGACGAUACGUAGCUGGUCUGAGAGGAUGAUCAGCCACACUGGAACUGAGAUACGGCACAGACUCAUACGGGAGGCAGCAGUAGGGAAUAUUGGAGCAUGGGCGGAAGACAGAGCAAGACAUACCGCGUGGGUGAAGAAGGCAUUCUGGUUGUAAAGCCCAUCUGUUGGGAAAGAAAAGCAGCAGGUUAAGACACCGCUGUAAUGACGGUACCAAAAGAAUAAGCAACGGCUAAAUUCGUG
rnacentral:rRNA from 1 species